UUCACUUUUGAUAAACAAUUUUCUCAAAUUUGUUUACGCCAUCUACGUGUGGCAGCCAGCAGCCAGCAGCCCAGUUCAUUCAUUUUGGCGAGGCGUGCGUGUAUGAGUCCGGUUGUAUGUCCGUCCGUCCGUCCAUCCGUUCAUCUAUUUAUCCAAAUAUUUGGCGUGCUGGUGUGAAAGUGAAAAAUGUGCUUGUUUUUCUGGUUUAGUACGAUUGCAAUCGCAUGCCUUUUUCCCCCCACAAUAGAAAUCUGGAGUAUAACACCAGAAUUGGUGCGUAGCGCUGUGGCCACAGCUGAAAAUAUAUAUUUUUCUAACUGUUUAGAAGUAUGUAAGCAGAAAAUAUAUAUGUGAGUGGAAAUCUGCAUUGAAUAUUUACACUCAAACGUAUAUUAAUUCAUAAAUCUUGGCAGAAAAUUUCAAAAUUCCCCAACUCAUUUGGGCCAUAGACAAACGCAAAUGCCCGUUCUACUGACAGUGUUUAAAAAUAAAUAAUAUAAAUAAAUUGCUAUUUACACAGCACAGAGCAUUGUUUGGGAACAAGAUUAACGUAGCAAAAGGUGUGAGCGGAAAAAUGUGCGCGCACAGUGCUACGUGACUGUCCAUAUACAAUGAGAAUAUAUGCCUAUGAUGCAGAGGAGCUGCGAGCGGCAAAUUAGUUGAAUGGCAUGGAAAAUAUUCUUUCGCCACUGGGUAGUGGAAAAUUUCAUAGAGAUUUUUUAAUGAUUUUUGCAAUGGAUAAGCCAGCCGGCGGAAGACCUGUGACGACGAAUAUCGAUAAAAUCAUGGAAAACAUCGAGUUAGACCGGCAUGUGGCAUCUCGUGACAUCGCUCAGGAGAAAGGUGUUAGCCACCAAACCAUUUUAAACCAUCUGCAGAAGGCUGGAUACACAAAACAACUGGAUGUUUGGGUGUCCCAUGAUUUGACGUAAAAAAACCUUCUGGAUCGAAUCAACACCUGCGAUAUGCUGCUGAAACGGAAUGUACUCGAACCAUUUUUGAAGCGAAUGGUGACUGGCGACGAAAUAUGGAUCACAUACGACAAUAUCAAGCGAAAACGGUCGUGGAAGAAGGCCGGUGAAUCGUUCCAAACAGUGGCCAAGCAGGGAUUGACGGCCAGUAAGUUAUUGCUGUAGGUUUCGUGGGAUUGGAAGGGAAUCAUCCACUAUGAACUACCCAUAUAACCGGACACCUAAUUUUACCAUCUACUGUGUCCAGAAUUGGCCAACAGGAAGGGUGUAGUGUUCCACCAGCACAACGCCAGACCACAGACUUCGUUGAUGACUCGUCAGAAGCCAUGGGAGCUCGGAUGAGAGGUUUUAUCGCAUCCACCAAAUAGUGUAAAGUUGAACUCAAAAGAGGCUUGUGAAAAGUGGCUGUCCGAGUUCUUCGCAAAUAAGGAGUGGGGCUUCUACGAGGAAGGGUACUAUGAAGUUGCCGUCUCGAUGGAAACAGAUAAUCUAUCGAACGCAACGGCGCAUAUUUUAACUGAAUCCAAUCACUUGUAACACUUUUUAUGAAGCAUUGAAUAAAGAGCAAAAAAAUUGAAUUGAAUA